GGUGCAUGGUUGUCGUCAGCUCGUGUCGUGAGAUGUGGGUUAAGUCCCGCAACGAGCGCAACCCCUAUUGUUAGUUGCCAUCAUUCAGUUGGGCACUCUAGCGAGACUGCCGGUAAUAAACCGGAGGAAGGUGGGGAUGACGUCAAAUCAUCAUGCCCCUUAUGACCUGGGCUACACACGUGCUACAAUGGUUGGUACAACGAGUUGCGAGUCGGUGACGGCGAGCUAAUCUCUUAAAGCCAAUCUCAGUUCGGAUUGUAGGCUGCAACUCGCCUACAUGAAGUCGGAAUCGCUAGUAAUCGCGGAUCAGCACGCCGCGGUGAAUACGUUCCCGGGCCUU
rnacentral:rRNA from 1 species